AUCCAGCUGACGAGUCCCAAGUAGGACGAAACGUGCGUCCUGGAU
rfam:Schistosoma mansoni strain Puerto Rico chromosome 7, complete genome